GAUAGCUCAAUGGUAGAGCGUAAGACUGUAGUGUUUAAAUCUUUUGGUUGUUGGUUCGAAUCCAGCUC
rnacentral:tRNA from 11 species